CAGCAGGAUCACAUGUGAGUCCCGGCCAGUGCAAUGUGGUGGCAGUGAUGUGUGCCCCCUGCAAGGCUGGAUUUGCAAAGACCUCCCAAUGGCAAUUCUCUGUUCUCUCCUGCCUUCUCAGCGGGUUGGAUGAAGAAGGUCCUAGAGAUGACUCCAAGGCUCCAGGAGACCGUGAAGUUGGGAGAAACCAGCCAUAUGAAUACCUGAACAAAUAUACGACAGCACCUAGGAAAUUUCCUGGCACAAAGCACCCAGGAAAGCACACAGGGCAACUUCACCGUCUGCCAGCCAGGCAGAGGGCUCUUACCAGAACCUGGCCAUGCAGGCAGCCUGAUCUCAGACUUCCAGCCUCCAGACCUGCAAGAAAUAAAUGUCUGUUGCU